UGAGGAAUAUUGGUCAAUGGGUGCAAGCCUGAACCAGCCAUCCCGCGUGAAGGACGACUGCCCUAUGGGUUGUAAACUUCUUUUGUACAGGGAUAAACCUACCCUCGUGAGGGUAGCUGAAGGUACUAUACGAAUAAGCACCGGCUAACUCCGUGCCAGCAGCCGCGGUAAUACGGAGGGUGCAAGCGUUAUCCGGAUUUAUUGGGUUUAAAGGGUCCGUAGGCGGACUUAUAAGUCAGUGGUGAAAGCCUGUCGCUUAACGAUAGAACUGCCAUUGAUACUGUAAGUCUUGAGUAUAUUUGAGGUAGCUGGAAUAAGUAGUGUAGCGGUGAAAUGCAUAGAUAUUACUUAGAACACCAAUUGCGAAGGCAGGUUACCAAGAUAUAACUGACGCUGAGGGACGAAAGCGUGGGGAGCGAACA
rnacentral:rRNA from 1 species